AAACACUUCCUUGAAUCUUAUCAUACGACAUUACAGGAAGAAGAGUUUUCACUAGCCCUCUGUCAAGUACCGGUCAGUCUAAAAUAGCCUCAGAGUGAGACAUCACACCACUGUGAAGCGAGUACAUGACAACAUCUGAUUGCAGAAAGAAAAUGAAAUCCAUCUACAUGAUCAUCACAGCUCUGGCAUCAACAGCUCUGGCACAAGGCUCUAUUGAAUGUAAUUUCACUGAAGCUACUGGAACUCAGCAAUGUUAUGGAGCGGUGGGACAACUGCUGAUUUUUCACCUGCCAAACACUGCAGAUAGAGAUGUAAGGUUGACGAAAGACAAGACACGUAUUAUCUUAAAAUGUAAAAAAAAACGGAUAGAGACGCCA